rfam:Roseburia sp. 499 contig000012, whole genome shotgun sequence.
GCCGCAGUGGCGGAACUGGCAGACGCGCAGGACUUAAAAUCCUGUGGUGGUGACAUCGUACCGGUUCGAUUCCGGUCUGCGGCA